rnacentral:rRNA from 1 species
GUAUAACCUGCCAGACAGGGAAACUGCGUACGGCUCAUUACACCAGCCUUAAUUUACUUGACCUUGACAACCUACUUGGAUAACUGUGGUAAUUCUAGAGCUAAUACAUGCACCAAAGCUCCGAUCCUCGCGGAGAGGAGCGCAUUUGUUCGCCACAAAACCAAGCCCCCAUCUGGGCGUCCAGUGCUGAACCAGAACAACUCAGCUGAUCGCACGGUCUUGUACCGGCGACGUGUCUUUCAAGUGUCUGCCUUAUCAACUUUCGAUGGUAGUGUACCUGACUACCAUGGUUGUGACGGGUAACGGAGGAUAAGGGUUCGACUCCGGAGAAGGGGCCUGAGAAAUGGCCACUACGUCUAAGGAUGGCAGCAGGCGCGCAAAUUACCCACUCUCAACGCGAGGAGGUAGUGACGAGAAAUAACGAGACCGUUCUCAUACGAGGCCGGUUAUUGGAAUGGGUACAAUUUAAA